GCGAGCAGCGUGAGGAUAUGUAGUAUCUCCCGGGACCGUCGUCGGCGGAUGGUGUAAGUCCAUCCUUGAUGGAGGUUACUCGGGGGCAUCGUCCCACAUCUCCUUGGAUAUGAACUUGCGUCUUCGUUCGACUUGCCGGUCGUCUCCCUUUGGCUUCUCCUUCCUCGUCUCCUUCGUCCUUCUUCCUGCCACCUCCAUCUCAGUCCGCCGGCAACACCUUUCAGCCUCCCUCCAUCUUAACCCGUCUUUCUCUCCCUUAGCCAGACUCCUUCGUUUUAUUUCGCCUCGCUCUUUUCCCUGCUCAUCUUUUUCUGUCUUUUUUUUUUUUUUUUUUUUUUUUUUUUUUUACGUAAAUAAUUUUUUUUUUUUUUUUUUUAAUUUUAAUCAGGCACUUGAGAUUUUAAAAUUUACAGUUAUUUUAUUUUAAUUUGACGACACGAGGGACGCGCUAAAGAUGGACAUUAUAUUAUGUUCGCAUAUCUUUCGUACAUGAUACGUUGCCUUGUGGACCACUAUGACUCAAGCGAAGAUUCGUGACGUCACGUAAGCCCAUGCAAUACCACCGUAUAUGUAUAAAGCUGAUGGUCCAAGGUCGAUGUGGUAAUCUUCCGCGCGUCGCGUUAAUCCAUGAGUUAUUCGCGUUACAAACGGGAUGCGCUUAUAUGUAAAAUUGAAUAUUUGCAUAAAAUUACACACCUUCAUCAAUUCAUCGACAUAAAAUAUUUAUAUGUAAUUUACAUAUAAAACAUUCUUUUAUAUGUAAUCUUACCCGCGUCGUUUUAAUCUUUUAGGAUAUACGGAUUAUUUUAAAAACAAUCACAAUUUUAUAGAUUUCUCAAUCGAUUAAAUGAGAAAAUUUGUCUUUGGAAUCCAUGGCUAGAAUAACGAAGGAUUUAUACUUUUUAGAUACAACAAUAUAUAAAUAUUUGAAAGAAUAUAAAAUAUUAUAAUAAUUUAAUAUAACAAUAUUUUAAUUUAAAACAAGAGGAUAUUUAUUUAUAUAAUAGCGCGAUUUUUAAUAAUAUGACAUAUAUAGGAUAUCUCUUAAAAUGCUAGAUGUUUUUUUAAUCGCGGUGUCUAACACUAAUCUACUUAUUAUGCUUAUUCGUUUCUCCCCCUCAUCGGAUGAGUAACAGAAACACAAUCUAUUUCUGCGAAUACCGUAUUAAUUAUCAUAAUCUCUCCUUCUGGUGCUCGCUAAUCUUUAACGCGAUCGUACAACGGAUUUUACGAUUAUCACUCGUCAAAUUGGUAACACGCUCUCGUAAAGCCGACUAUAUCGAGAGGUGGAAGCUACCAAACCUACGUCAAGUCUAAAUAUAAUUCAAUGAGAAGCAGAAGUUACACUGGGUCCAAAAAUUUCUUGACCCAGGCAAAUUCCGCUUCACAUCGAAUGGAAAGCAAAGACAAAGUUAUAAACUGUUCAUCUCACGUAUCUGCAAGUGAUCAUUUACUUUUAUACUGUAUAAUUUAAUUUACUUUUAUUUUUAAUCGUGUCUUUUAAAAUUUAUCUCAACUCUAAUAGAUUAAUGACAUUUAUUUAUAAAUAUAUUCAUAUUUUGAUGUGCGAAUAAGCAACGUUAGCAUUAUUCUUAAUUUGAUUAAUAAAAUUGAGGGGUUGUAUUUUUUUUUUAAUUAUAAAAUUAUAUUUUUUAAAUAUAAUUUUAAAUAAUUUUAAUUUAAAUAUAAUUUUUAAAUAUAAUUUUUUAGAUAUAAUUUUUUUUUUAAUAUAAUUUGAUGCCGAAUAUUUAUAUCUAUGAAUGAAAAUGAAAUUAAAAUCUUACAUUAGAGAUCGCGGAUUCACGAAAGAGAUGUGAUUUCGCAAUAUGAUUUAUUUGUUUGAAUAUACUACGCCAAUUGAUAUUCAAACAUGAACAAUAUAUAUCGAUUUGCAAUUAUGACUGAUGAUAUCACUCAUAUUAAUACAUCGAUAUCGGUGCUCUUAUCCGAAUGGAGUCAUGUGAUAUGCGAUUUCGAUAAUCUCGCGCGUGUAAUUGCAUCCAUCUUUUUUUACCAUUUCAGCAAUAUGACAUGUAUACGCAUGACAGUUUAUUAUAAAUUGCACAACUGUCUGCUUGUUUCUCUUGAAACAUACGCAGUAUUGCGCGUUAAACUUUCUGACGGGGCGAUCGAAGAGAGGUGCACAUAUAUUUUUUUCAUCGCAAAACAUGUCAAUGCAGAUUUUUCUUUACAUUAAAGCGAAUUCAAAUUUAUUUCAUAAUGAUUUAUGUCAAUCAUAUAGGAUCGCGCUGACAAUGUCUGAUUACUAUAUUUGCGCGAACAAAUUACACUGCAUCGGAACAAGCGUUAUUAAACG